rnacentral:lncRNA from 1 species
AUGCUUUUGCUGUCACUGCAGCCAGAGCUCCAUGCUGCAGCAACUGGAGUUUCAACAUGGCCACCAGCAAUGCCAUCUUCACUGCCGUUGCACAGUAACCAGACUCCUACCACCACCAAAGGAUGAGGAAGCUCCUACCUGGAUGCCUUGCUUGCCGCUACCACUUCCAGACCCCUCAGUUGCCUUUGCCACCACUGCCAUAACCAAACUUCAGACACUGAAGCCUCCACGAAUGCCCAAUGCCAAGGCUGGACUUCCCAUUGCUGCUGCCACCCAUACAACUGGACUCCCCAAACCGCCUUUGGACACCUAGCCUUGCUGAUGCCUUCCUCGAAGAUAGAUGCCCCUGGUGCCAGAUCCUGGCACUGCCCCUUGUUGUUGGGCACCUCAAAUGUGGAACACUGUUGUGGAACACUGAGGAAGGUGCUAUACACUUUUGAGUCUCUGCAACCAGACUUCUUUCACAGCCACCAGAUGCCUCCACAGGUGCUGUCUACACCUCCAGGCUUGGAGAGAGUGGAAGGCAUCUCCUUCCAUGCCUCUGGCCUUUUCAUCCCUGCCAGAGGAUUAAUUCACUGACCAGUUAAGGCUCUCAUAACUGAAAAAUUUCACCUCUAAACUUUCUUGCAUUAUUAGUUUUUUGGGGAAACCUAGUAACUAAUCCAUAAUACAUCUUCAUCAAAUAGCUUAGCAAGAUCUUGUUAACUUGCUGUAGUUUCUACAUCAGCACUUGCUGCUUCACCUUGAACUUUUAUUUUAAGGAGAUGGGCUUCUUGCACCUUCAAACUUCUUCUGGAGCUUUCUCAUUUCUCUUGGCAUUAGAACAAUCUAGAUAUGGAUUUGACUUAAGAGAAUGUUGCUUGUUUCAUCUGUUCUCCAGAAGAUGAAAACUUUUUCUAUAUCAGAAAUAAGGCUGUUUUGCUUUCUUAUGAUUCACAUAUGCCCUGCAGCAGCACCUUAAUUUCCUUCAAGAACAUUUCCUUUGUAUCCUUAGUGUGAUUAACCAGUGCAAGAGUUACAGAUUUUUAUUUAGAGUGCAAAACAUGAGACUCUUCCUUUUAUUUAAACAGUAUAGGCCAUUACUGAGUUAUUAACUGUUCUAACUUCAAUAUUGUGUCUUAGGGAAUAAGAGGAUUGUGAGAUAUAAUCCAUAGAGCAAUAAUAACACACAUAUUAAUUUUGCUAUCUUAUAUGAACAGGAUUUAUAGUACCACAUGACAAUUAAAAUAAUGAAUAUCACAGAUCACAUAAGACAUAUAAUGGCCUGAAAUGCUCACCACAUUUUAGGCAGUUACCUCUUCCCCAUACACAGGGGCCUCUAUUUCACCUCCUCCAGGAUGGCCUGUAGGUGACAACCCCCAAAGGACUCAUGUUCUCUAUGGGGGCUCCAUCUUUACCUACAUAUUGUUGGUGGUAGCACAGCCUGGUGAAUGGAUUGAGCAGUGUUAUGUCAACAUAAAAUUUUGUGGCUAUAAUUACUGACAGUGUCAUCAUGAACAAUAAAAAAUUACCAUCACAAAAAAUAAAACAGGCAAUUUCACGGAAGAGUGGGCCUUCUCCAUGAUUAGCUUUCAAUACACCAAUGUCACUGUCAUGGUUGCAAACACCUGUGAUCGUAGAGGCUCAGGAGGCUGAAGAGAAGGAUUGUGAGUUCAAAGCCAGCCUCAGCAACUUAGCAAGGCCCUAUCUCUAAAUAAAAUAUAAAAAAAGGUCUGGGUAUGUGAUUCAGUGGUUAAACAUCCAUGUGUCCAAGUCCUGGUACCAAAAUAAAAAGUACACCAAUAUCUUGCAUGCCAUCUAUGCAUAUUUCCUUGGGUCUCUCAGAAACAUGUCACAUUACCCUAGUGCAGCUGGGCUAUAGACCAAACAGAAAGGCAGCAGGGAAAGAGACUCGGCCACAUGCUUGGGGUGAUGGGUUCCUGCUGACCUGAGAGACAGCCCAACAUAUCCUGACUAGAAGCAGCCCAGAUGCCAG